rnacentral:miRNA from 2 species
UAAACACUUCCUACAUCCUGUAU